CACCUGAGGGGUUCACAGACAAUCAAGAGCAGAUCAAUAUAGAUACCAAACUGCAGUUAAUCAGCAUGUAAUAGCAGAGAGAUGUACAUUUAAUGCUCAUAAUGCAGCCGUGUAUGAGAAAAAUAACUAUACUGAUGACUGCAUUAGAUGUGUCAUUUAUCAAACAAUGACCAAGCCUCUGAGUAACUUAUGUCAACAUACUAUCACACAAGUUACUGUUAUCAAUACAAUGUUUCUUCACCUACUUCCAAAGUGCAUGGAGAAGGGAAAAACUCCAGCUGGAGUUCUGACUCUUCAAAAAGGGGUCUUUAGAAUUUAAUUGGGGUUUUAAAUUGAGUAAAAUACUCCAACAGUAGGAUAAACAUUUUACAUUUUAAGUUAGAAUACAAAAGACAAAAGAAUACAAAGGACCCUUCAAACAACAAUACGAUGAACAAAAAUAACUAAGUCAUGCUGACAAUUAUAUGACCACAUGGUUAAAAACUACUGCAGCUGACUGGUGUGGGCGGGGCAAGAUUUUGUCAGACUGGGCAAUGACUCAGCAAAAAAAAAAAAAAGGCUCUAGUCUAGCACUCCCUUUCAGUGGUGUUAUGGAUGUUUUGCAUGCCAGCUUUUCUUUCUUUCUUUGAUGGCUGGGCGGGUAGUUUGUAAUGUUUGAAACAAGACAGGCAAGAAGGCUUUGAGCAGGGAGAGUCAAAAGACACACCCAUCUUUAAUAAAUACUUAACCUUUGGCUCAUUAGACUGUUAAAACACUCACCAUCGACAUCAUAAAACAUUAACACAGAUGAUAAUGGAAUGAGUAUUAUCCAUAUGAGGAAUAAGGGCAUCUGCUAUCAGUGCAUUCCUGGAUCAACAGUUGAGAAACAAAGGGCCCACCACCAGUGAGGACUGUACCAGGAGAUGAAGGCCAAGUUCUCAGCUGAGAAAGCCAGAGCCCAGAACAGCAGCAGGGCCGUGCUGUGGCCCCUGGUCCGGUCCAUCAACAGGACUCUACGUCUCUCCACCCUGAGCAGCGCUAUAGCCCAGGCCCAGGCCAGCGCAGAGAAGCAGCCGUACAGCACCACAUAGCCUGGGAGCUCUCCUCCGCUGGCAGCCCGCCACACCAUCCCACUCAGAAACUGGACCAGGAGAAGGAUGGAGACGGCCUGCUGGAAGCCGUAGAGGCGGGAGCGUGGGAUGAACUUGGGCUCCAUCACUGUGCCAUAUUUCUUGUAGAAUAUGCAGUGGAUGGUGCCCAGGAAGAAGGCGAUGGUGAGCAGGAUGGUGGGGACCAGUGUGAAGUAGAAGCAGGGGGAGAUGCCUUCAUCCACCCAGGUGUGGGAGAUGGAGGAGUUGGCUUCGCAGUAGCUCUGCAUGAACACCAUGGCUGCAGCUACAGAACAACAAUAACAGGGAAUAUUAAAUGAAACAGCUUAAACGACAUAUUAGUUUCUGAUAAUGGAGAGGUAAGUGAGUUCAGAGUCUCCGCACAAACUUGGCUGGCUGCUGGUCUCUGCUAUAUUAGGCUGUGAACUUCUGUGACAUCUUUAGUCUCACAGUUCACCAUUGCACCUGCUUUUAGCCGCUGGUUAUAAAUUACCACCACCCCAUUUGCCACACAUUACCAAAAUGCCAUAUGGGUUGGGCAGAGCAGCGUACACAAACCCUUCACAGAGAUGACAAAUGGAGUGUAACCUGUUAGUACACCCACUACGACAUCAUUUAAGAGGCUGCACACAUUAACUAAUGCACUGCUGUUAGUUGUAACAUUACCAUUACCUUAGUGGCCUGUCGGUUGCUGUCAACUUGUCAGGUACCUCAGCGACGCACACACUCCAGUGUCAGUAACAGAGGUUUAGUCCACAGAAGCUAAGUUAGCAGUUCACUACAAAACUAGCUGUUAGCUAGCUGACUCGGCUUUACGCAGCUUUACCACAAGCGACGCUUCAUAACGAGCCGGACCGUAUGUCCGAGUAUGUGAUACAUACAGCUGUGUGUCUGUCACCGCUACCUGUCAACUGUGUGUACUCAUGCUGCUACCGCUGAUGUCCUUGCUGAGAGCAGGUUAAACAACAGCUUUUCCAUGACUCGGCAAUCGACGCUUUACGCAACAGCGUGGGACUGCACGGCGUGGACGUAAGCGCCCCCUAGUGACAGGCACCGGGCGUGACUCAUGGAGGCAGGAAGGGAGCAGCAUGGAGACACCCUAAAGCAGUGUACAGAAAGAGGAAAUUACAGUUUGCUCAUUUGCCUUGAGCAUAUUUGUCCAUUCAGGAGUUCACAGACACGGGCCUGAAUGUCACUGUGCAAAAUGACACAUUUUGUUUGCAACACAACACAUUAAAAACGUGCAACAAAAGCAAAUAUUUCCAGAAAACAACAUAACCUGUGUUCAAAUGACUAUAUUCUUUGAAUCAUGACAUAAUGGACAACAAAAUACAAAUUACAGCUAGCACUAUGAACAUGUUUAACUUUAAUUUGUGCUGUAUUCCUUUGCUAUUUGUUACUUUGAUACUUUACAUAUUGUAUGUGCCAGAAAAGUAAAUAUCACAGCAUCAAUUGUAUUCUUUUCUCCAAAGAUUGUUGCUCUGUACCUGCACCUUUUGCAUUUGAAAACAUCUGUUGAAAUACUGUAAAACAGGUUUUCUUCAUUCAUUUCAUUCUUGUUUGCUGGUGUUUCUGUGUCGCUGAUAUUUACAUAACAUGGAUGGGAGAUCAUUUAGUUACAUAAAAGUAGCAGUGUCAUAGCAUACAAAUAGAAAUACUCCAUUAAAGCUCAAAGGUCUGCAUUAAAUAAUUUCCCUUAAAGUACAGAAGUAGGCUGUUGACAGCAAAAUGUACUUAAAGGAUCAAAAGUAAGUAGGCUACUCAUUAUGCAGCAUAUUGUUGUUGUUGUCAAGGUGGUCAUUUUAACUACUGUAUAAACUGUUGGGUAGUUUAAUUGAUAAUAAAUACUUAAUAUUUGACUGCUCAUAUCUGAUCAUAUCUUUUGGAUUGAACUUUUAACCUGACGAGUAAAGUAAACUUUUAAUCUGAAAAGUAAGAUACACAACUGUAAACAAUAUCUGUCAGAUAUAUGUAGUGGGAUAAAAAGUAAAAUUUUCCCCUCUGAAAUGAGUUUAAAGUAACAUAGCAUCGAAACACAUAAGUACAAGUACCUCAAAGUUGUAUUAAAGUGCAGUACUUUAGCAAAACUACUUAGUUACAGUCCACCACUGGAAAUGAAGUCAAUAAAAAAAAGAGCAAUGCUAAGGGUCCAGUAGAGCUUUAUAGUGGUAAUGUUAUUAAGCAAAUUUCUGUCACUUCCAACAGUUUGUCACUUAUUUUCAGUUCAAACCAAGCAUUAACCCUGGUAUAGCUUUGAUUGGCCAAAAUUCUAAUGUCAUACAAUUUAGAGAUUUAUUAUUUAUUUAUUUUACACAAUGGGUUGUAUGAAAUCUUUGAUGACAUUGGGGAAAAUGAGAGCUUGCAAUGUUACAAGAUGAUCAGUAGAUGGCACUAAAUACUAAGUUAUAAUCAGAGGAAGCCACUGUCUACAGCAAACCCAUGUAUGAACAACAGUUGGUGACACCUCCAUGAACAUACACACAGAUGGUGAGAAAAAACUGGAGAUGGAACAAAAUAAAAAAUAUAAUACAA